GACCAAGGAGUCUAACAUGUGCGCGAGUCGUAGGGUUACGCUCAAAGCCCGAAGGCGCAAUGAAAGUGAAGGUCGGCCUCGAUUGCCGUUACCUAGGCGGGAUCCGUUCGGGCUUACCGGUCGUUCGCGGCUGAGCCCGGCGGCGCACCGCCGGCCCGUCUCGACCGCAUCGCCGGUGAGGCGGAGCGAGAGCGUACACGUUGGGACCCGAAAGAUGGUGAACUAUGCCCGGGCAGGACGAAGCCAGAGGAAACUCUGGUGGAGGUCCGUAGCGAUUCUGACGUGCAAAUCGAUCGUCGGACCUGGGUA
rnacentral:rRNA from 1 species